CUGGGUGAUCCCUGCCUGCCGCACUCACAGUCUGCUGUUUACAGUCCCGAAUGCAUCCAGUGGAAUGGUCCUCCCCAUCUGCAGCAUCUGGUGCAAUGUAGGAGACCCUUCAGCUUCCUCUGGACUGUUUUUCUUUUCUGUUUGUGUCCAUCUUCCUUGAUCAAACUCCAGAAGGCAUAUCCCCAAUAGUUUUCUCCAUUGUGGAGGACCUCUUCCAUAUUUUAUGUGCUAGGAUUGUGAUAUUCUGUUAUGGCAGCCCUAGCAGAUGAAUAAUACAGGUAGAAUGGUCCUCAGGUGGUCUGAAGCAGGAGAUACGGCACUUAUGGUGCUCUCUGAUGAAGCCUGAGUCAAUGGAGGAGCCCGCAGCUGCCGGGUCACUUGGUUUCAGGUUUGUGAGAGUCAGCUGAGGGACAAGAGCUCCGGGAACUUUGAAGGCACCCUCUCGAGAAAGCGUUUUCUGUCUUAAAUAUUUUCCUGCACAGGUCUGAAAUUGUAUCAGUAGAAAUUCAUGUGGGGGUCUUGAUGCCUUCUUUAGUUUUCAGCAAUCUCAUGAUAGAAUGAGAAUGUACCUGGUCACCAGGACGCUGUUGAUAGGCUGAGAAUGUGGGGUGUGGUUUCUGGAAAAGGACUGCAGGGAAGCCGGCAGUGAAGGACAGAUGGGCCAGAUCUUUAGGUUCUCUCCCUUCCAGCUUUGCCCAGGACCAGCCUGGAUGAGCUUCUCAUGGGGCUUACAGAAAGAAGGGUGUUUUGGUUCUUCCUUGAAGGUUCUGAGAUGGCAACUGCUGGUUUCAUUUGUCUGGAGAUUUCAUCUUUCAGAGCUGUCAAGGAUUUUAGUGGCUAUAAGGAGAGAACUCUGAUGAUAAAGUUUAUUGAUUCAUGACUGCAUUCAUAUAAAACACUAAAUGGAAUUUUGAAUGGCAAGAAACAUGUUUUGUACAUUCAAUAAAUGAGAAUCUGUGUAUCAUGAAAAUGGUAACACUUAGUAUGAUAAUUUUCAGUUUAUAAAGUGUUUUAUUUAAUUCUGACAAUAAUCCUGUAAGGUAGCUGAGUUGUUGAGUUAUAGUAGCACUCAAUGUAUACCCUUCAACCCCUGCCACAAACACACAAAUGCAUGUUCAGUUUUCUUUCAUAUACAAAAUAUCCCAUCUCCCCAAACCGUUACCCCAUCUCAUACUUUGUUCACUUCUAAAAUUCCUGGAAAGGUGAAAUGUUCCCAUAACUGUCUUCAACUCAUCACUACCACUCCAUGAGAUCUGGUCUAAUCUUUGCCAUUAUAGAAAAUCUCACUUAGUUACUAAUAACUUCCUUGUUGCUAAAUGUAGUGAAGUUUCCUCUAUAUGUAUCAUUCGAAG
rnacentral:lncRNA from 1 species